GACGAACGCUGGCGGCGUGCCUAAUACAUGCAAGUAGAACGCUGAAGGAGGAGCUUGCUUCUCUGGAUGAGUUGCGAACGGGUGAGUAACGCGUAGGUAACCUGCCUGGUAGCGGGGGAUAACUAUUGGAAACGAUAGCUAAUACCGCAUAAGAGUGGAUGUUGCAUGACAUUUGCUUAAAAGGUGCACUUGCACCACUACCAGAUGGACCUGCGUUGUAUUAGCUAGUUGGUGGGGUAACGGCUCACCAAGGCGACGAUACAUAGCCGACCUGAGAGGGUGAUCGGCCACACUGGGACUGAGACACGGCCCAGACUCCUACGGGAGGCAGCAGUAGGGAAUCUUCGGCAAUGGACGGAAGUCUGACCGAGCAACGCCGCGUGAGUGAAGAAGGUUUUCGGAUCGUAAAGCUCUGUUGUAAGAGAAGAACGAGUGUGAGAGUGGAAAGUUCACACUGUGACGGUAUCUUACCAGAAAGGGACGGCUAACUACGUGCCAGCAGCCGCGGUAAUACGUAGGUCCCGAGCGUUGUCCGGAUUUAUUGGGCGUAAAGCGAGCGCAGGCGGUUAGAUAAGUCUGAAGUUAAAGGCUGUGGCUUAACCAUAGUAGGCUUUGGAAACUGUUUAACUUGAGUGCAAGAGGGGAGAGUGGAAUUCCAUGUGUAGCGGUGAAAUGCGUAGAUAUAUGGAGGAACACCGGUGGCGAAAGCGGCUCUCUGGCUUGUAACUGACGCUGAGGCUCGAAAGCGUGNGGAGCAAACAGG
rnacentral:rRNA from 1 species